rnacentral:rRNA from 1 species
UACGUAGGGGGCAAGCGUUGUCCGGAUUUACUGGGCGUAAAGAGCGUGUAGGCGGCCAUGCAGGUCCGUUGUGAAAACUGGAGGCUUAACCUCCAGACGUCGACGGAAACCGCGUGGCUAGAGUCCGGAAGAGGAGAGUGGAAUUCCUGGUGUAGCGGUGAAAUGCGCAGAUAUCAGGAAGAACACCCGUGGCGAAAGCGGCUCUCUGGAACGGUACUGACGCUGAGACGCGAAAGCGUGGGGAGCGAACAGG